rnacentral:misc_RNA from 1 species
GGAGAGGAGAGGAGAGGAGAGAGAAAGAGAAAGAGGGAGAUAUGGCGCUGACGCUGUACGGGAUGCCUCCGUCAACCAACACAGUGAGGGUGGUGGCUGCCCUGCUGGAGAAGAACUUGGAGUAUGAGUUCGUCCUCGUCAACAUCACCACCGGUGCCCACAAGCAACCUGAUUUCCUCGCACUCAACCCAUUCGGUCAGAUCCCGGUUCUCACCGAUGGAGACAUCACCCUCUUCGAAUCCAGAGCCAUCACCAAAUACGUAGCCACAAAGUACGCUGGAACUGGCCCUGACCUCCUCGGAAGUGCCAGCCCCGUAGCUGCGGCAGAUAUAGAAGUAUGGCUCCAAGUAGAGUCACAACAGUUCAACCCACCCAUUUCUGCCAUCGUCUUCGAGCUGCUGAUCAAGCCGAUGCUCGGAGGCACCACCAACCCAGAAGUCGUGGAGGCAGAGGCGGCGAAGCUGGCGAUAGUACUGGACGUGUAUGAAGGCAGGCUGACAGGAAGCAAGUACAUUGCUGGAGAGGAGUUCAGUCUGGCCGAUCUUAAUCACAUCCCGUAUAUGAAUUAUUUGAUGAGGACGUCCAAGGCUGAGCUGAUCACUUCCCGGCAACAUGUGAUGGCUUGGUGGGAGGAGAUAUCUGCACGUCCGGCUUGGAAGAGGACCCUUGCAACUAUUACCAUCUGAGUGGUUUGUAAUCUGUCUUGGCUUGGAAGAGGAACGUUGCAACUAUUACCAUCUGAGAGGUUUGAAACCUGUCUUGUUAGCUUGUUUGUUGGACUAAUAACGAUCCUUGGAAUAAAGAUGGUUUGUUUUACAAUGCCAA